rnacentral:rRNA from 1 species
UAUUGGUCAAUGGGCGAGAGCUUGAACCAGCCAAGUAGCGUGCAGGAUGACGGCCCUAUGGGUUGUAAACUGCUUUUAUAAGGGAAUACAGUGAGCCUCGUGAGGCUUCUUGCAUGUACCUUAUGAAUAAGGACCGGCUAAUUCCGUGCCAGCAGCCGCGGUAAUACGGAAGGUCCGGGCGUUAUCCGGAUUUAUUGGGUUUAAAGGGAGCGUAGGCCGGAGAUUAAGCGUGUUGUGAAAUGUAGAUGCUCAACAUCUGCACUGCAGCGCGAACUGGUUUCCUUGAGUACGCACAAAGUGGGCGGAAUUCGUGGUGUAGCGGUGAAAUGCUUAGGUAUCACGAAGAACUCCGAUUGCGAAGGCAGCUCACUGGAGCGCAACUGACGCUGAAGCUCGAAAGUGCGGGUAUCGAGCAGG